rnacentral:snoRNA from 1 species
CACCCAUGAUGACUCCGCCAUGCUAAUACCGAGGCACCGAGCAGGGCCACUGGUCCUACUCCGGGUGUCAGUGAGUUCAACUCGCUUCUCACAAGGAGACCUGAGGUGC